CAACCCGAACAGACGCACAUCGAGAGAGACUUCACUAACGUGUUGGCGCAGGUUAUGUUACGCUAUAUGUCAGUUACUACUGCUCAUGUACGAUAAUUAAAUAUAGCGCCGUGGAGACCAGGCAUUGUAUGGUCGAUGUUGUAGAGUAAACUAUAGUAUAAAGUGUAGAAUCUCCGUUCGGUUGUCUGUCGACUCUUUGAGCUAACCGGCUAACUGCUAGCUCUCUCGACCUAUCUAGCUAGCUAGCUACACCAUUUAAUGCGUAGCUAGCUAGCUGCCAAGACCGCAGUCUCCACAACAACGGACUUUCAACUGACAGAAAGGGGCGGUUAUCUUCACUGUUGGAGACCAGUACAUCAUCCUGGGAGCUCGAAGGGACUCGCUGGGUGAGCUGUGACGUUCGGAGGUGGCUCGGACUUUCUCUGCCUUGGUGAAGAACGCCAUCUUCCUGCUGUCCACAACCGGAACCUGCCUGCUCCCGGGGUCCUUCGGGCAGAUCUCGGCACGUUCUGGACCCUGAUUUCCAUCCGAGCUGGAGUCGGGGGGUUGCCGUGCUGAGAAGUCGAAAUAGGAACAUUGCCACCCAGUCUUCGUCCCCUCCUGUGUCCAUCCUCUGCGGGCCAGCCGGGCUGCAGUGAGGAUCGAGUCCAUCUGGCAGUGCAGCUUCUCUGCUUGGUCUGACUGAUAACUGCUGCCCUCCAUCCACCUCCUGGUUUAAGGUAUCUCUGAACUGAUGCAGUGCUGAUAUCCGCGUUGACAGGACGUGCAACUCAGAGCUCUCUCAUCACACAGAUACACAGAAGCCACCAUGACUUCCAAGAUGGUCAUCCAUCAGCCUCAGCCUGUGAUGGUCGCCCGAGAAUCGGAGGAGUGGUCAUCUGGGAUAUGUGACUGCUGUGACGACGUGCCC